AGCCCGCAGACUGUCCGGGGCGUCGCGGCCGUGCUGGCCGCCCCGCGCGGCUUGCGGCAGGCCAGGCGGAGGGACCGUCCUAAGUCACCUGCUGACCAGACCUGGCAAACAGGAGUUUACCGGAUGAGCAACCUACGUUUCUCAUGAGGAAACCCCAUCCCUCAACCUGAACAAGGGAGAGAAGCCAAUUCCCAUAAAAGAAGAGAAAAAGAAAAGGGUCCUUCAAAAGCAUGAUUUAGUAUCAGCCACUGGCCACAGAAGAGUUCACUUUCCAGAAGUUCCUUACUUUCACCAGAAUCUCCACAGUGAACUCUAACGUUCAUCCUUUACCAGAACACCGACUGCAGUUACUCGCAGGCGCUUCUCGCUCGGGGCUGCUUCACAGAAACACUGCAUCCAACCUUGUUCUCCAGGCCACCCCG